rnacentral:rRNA from 1 species
UACCAGACUCCUACGGGAGGCAGCAGUGGGGAAUAUUGGACAAUGGGGGGAACCCUGAUCCAGCGACGCCGCGUGAGUGAAGAAGUAUUUCGGUAUGUAAAGCUCUAUCAGCAGGGAAGAAAGAAAUGACGGUACCUGACUAAGAAGCCCCGGCUAACUACGUGCCAGCAGCCGCGGUAAUACGUAGGGGGCAAGCGUUAUCCGGAUUUACUGGGUGUAAAGGGGGCGCAGACGGCAGCGCAAGCCAGGAGUGAAAGCCCGGGGCCCAACCCCGGGACUGCUCUUGGAACUGCGCGGCUGGAGUGCAGGAGGGGCAGGCGGAAUUCCUGGUGUAGCGGUGAAAUGCGUAGAUAUUAGGAGGAACACCAGUGGCGAAGGCGGCUUACUGGACUGUAACUGACGUUGAGGCUCGAAAGCGUGGGGAGCAGACAGGAUUAGAUACCCUAGUAC